GUAGGUGGCAAGCGUUGUCCGGAAUUAUUGGGCGUAAAGCGCGCGCAGGCGGUUCUUUAAGUCUGAUGUGAAAGCCCACGGCUCAACCGUGGAGGGUCAUUGGAAACUGGAGAACUUGGGUACAGAAGAGGAAAGCGGAAUUCCACGUGUAGCGGUGAAGUGCGUAGAGAUGUGGAGGAACACCAGUGGCGAAGGCGGCUUUCUGGUCUGUAACUGACGCUGAGGCGCGAAAGCGUGGGGAGCAAACAGGGAUUAGAUACCCUGGUAGUCCACGCCGUAAACGAUGAGUGCUAAGUGUUAGGGGGUUUCCCGCCCCUUAGUGCUGCAGCUAACGCAUUAAGCACUCCGCCUGGGGAGUACGGCCGCAAGGCUG
rnacentral:rRNA from 1 species